rnacentral:rRNA from 1 species
CACGUAGGCACCAAGCGUUGUCCGGAUUUAUUGGGCGUAAAGAGCUCGUAGGCGGUUGAGUAAGUCGGGUGUGAAAACUCUGGGCUUAACCCAGAGCCGCCACCCGAUACUGCUCUGACUUGAGUUCGGUAGGGGAGCAGGGAAUUCCUAGUGUAGCGGUGAAAUUCGUAGAUAUUCGGCGGAACACCAGUGGCGAAGGCGACUCACUGGCCCGAUACUGACGCUGAGGCGCGAAAGCGUGGGUAGCAAACGGG